UCCGCGCGCGAGCCCGGAGCAGCAGCGGGAGGAGGCGCCCACUUGCACCUGCCUGCAUCUCUCAACUACUCCGCCCCACGCAACUGAUGGCAGCCAAGUGCCAUUAAAGCUGGCAGUCAGGAGGAUGCCUCACCUGGGUCCCUUCUGCUGGGAGAGGCAGGGCAAACCAGAGGAAAAUUCCCAGUGAAGGACUCAGAACUCUGCGAUUUCUCUUCUGUCACAGGCUGUGGAGCACCUAAGGAACUGCUCCACCUGAGGUGUGUCCAGGGCACGAGGAUGGAAGAUGAGGAUUGAGAAUCACCAAAAUGAACAGAGGCAGCUGGCGUCUCAUUGGUAAGUGGCUGGCAUUCCUUCGCUGGUGAUUGCUGCCUGUGAUGCUGCACUUUGGUUCCCAGCCACUUAGGGUUUUUGACACAAUCACUUCUGCAAAGCCAUCCUUCCUCGUCGUGUUGCCAGAGGUAAAAACUGUUCAUUGGUGCAUGUUUAAAGACAGGGAAAACAGUGGGUUUUUGUUUGUUUGUUUGUUUUGUUUGUUUGUUUGUUUUUCUCUGCUGGGAUUUGAUGUUGAAAAGUUGAAGCAAGUGUAAAACCUAUUGUAUGUUUCAUAAAGCCACCGGAAACAGGAGGAAAAAACUAGAAGCAAGUAUGCUUUUUGGAUGGCAAAUGUCAGGAGGGAUAAGAAUAUUUUCUUACCAAAGUAAUAAAAUGCUUUGGAAGACAAAAAUGAAAUGGUGUUGUCAGGUCAUGGCUGAGAAUCUCAUAGACCGAAUAACUGAGAAUACAGACAGAAUACCUGGGCAUGUAGUGGUGCAAUAACUUGUUAAAAUGCAGGAGAGAUGCAAGCAGAGUUCUGCAAAGUUUGGGAAACUGAGAAAAGUGGAACCUCGAAUUAUGCUGAGUGAUCUCCCCCACGUGUUGUGCAUAGAUGUUUGCUGAAUAUAUGUUCCCAGUUUCUUAUUUUUAUAGGGAUGUGGGGAGAGUGUUUUCUCAAUUUCUAUGACUAUGAUGUUCAGUAAGCUGAGGAUUGCUAUGACAACCUGAAAAUUUUUAGGUUGCUUAAAUUUAUUUUAUUCCAAAAAGAAAAAGAAUUCAUCAAUAUUUCAGAAUAAUUUUAUGUAAAAUUAGCAUAAGUAAGACAAAAGCAUGGUAAUUGUAGGACAGGUUUGCAAGAGAGCUUUAAUAGUACGAUGUGUGUGAGGCUUUACCCAUACACAGCUCACAUGCUUUUAUGAAAAGAAGUCAUUUAGGUAAUUCAGCUCUCUGCUCUGAUUCUGAGUCUUAGCCAUGAGAAAGAAAUGAAAACAGUAGCAAACCUUAAAAUAGCAGUGUCAUUUAAAAAAGAAACAAUGAAUUAAGCUUACAAAGUGUUGUAAAUGUAAUUGGUUGCUACUGGGCUGCAGCACACCUUCUGGAUUACCUCUAAAUGUCACUGCAAGCUAUAAGUUCUGCAUCCUGAUUAACACCAAGACUAAACUGAGACUAAGACAGGAAGAAAUGCUUGCAAAGUGUCAGUGGCCAGUGGUGAACAACUCACCUGUCGUGCUUCCCAUAAUUUCUCAUUUCAUGCUGGAAGCAUUUUAGUAUUUCACAGUGCAAAGCCUGAGUCUUAAGCUUGGCAGGCAUGCUUAUAUUGAUGAGAUGAUAAACAGUCAAUGACUAUAUACAAAUAGAUUUUACAAAGUGGCUAAAACAGUGGAUGUAUUAUGUAAAAAGUCACCUCAAUCUAAUUAGUGGUAGAAGGAAUACAGUUAAGACUCAAAAGUUAAAACAAUAAAUGUAAUAUAGAAGAAUUUUUUUGGACUAGUUAUCUUAGUUGGAACACCAGAUGUAAAAGAGGUUAGAUAAACAGACUGCUCAGUGUAAAGACUGGUGUUUCGAAUUAAGGAAGGGUAAACACCUUAAUGUUACCUAAAACUUCUGAAAACUAUCAGAGUAUAAAUUGUAUUAGACCACUCUCUGGUUUCAUAUGCAAGCAAAUAGAAAAUUAGAAAACUUCGAAGUUAGAAAAUGAAAAUGAGUGCUAUGAUGAACUGAGUGUUCCACUUUGGCUUGAUUCUGGGAGUUUCACGUACUUUUGAAAAGUAUCUGGAAAGAAAGAGUUGUGGAAUUUUUGAAUGGAUGGCUGAUAUACCUGAAAAUUUCUCAAGGUUUGUAAAAUUAGUUUGGCCAUUAGGGAGCCUGAAACCUAGUAGUGACUGGGUAAUAAA
rnacentral:lncRNA from 1 species